UCUUCUUCUUCAACCCAACCCCAUCUUCUUCCUCAACCCAACCCCAUCUUCUUCCUCAACCCAUCUUCUUCUUUCUUUCUCUUCACUUUUCUUCUCCAUAGCUUCCCAAUCAACCCAAACAUUAUCCUAAAAAUUAAUAGCGUAAUUUUUCAAAUUUUUAUUUAUUUUAAUGGAACAUACCCAAAAUGAAGAAAGGCGCAUGGAAAGCAGACCAAGCUACUCAAGGAUGCAUCAGAAGAAUUUCUACAAGUAGGAGCUUCGGGUUCCGGUGGUUUUGUCGACAUAAAUACAACAUCAGCAAUUCUCUUUGUAGUAAUUGAUUCAUGUUUCUUGGUCAUGCUUUACAUGCUUAUGUCAUUCUGGUUUGUUGAAGUUCUGGUGAUUCUCUUUUGCAUCGGUGGAGUAGAGGUACAUGCACAUCUUCAGGGGAAACUUUUUCAACUUGAAGAUCUUGAAUCUGUUUACCCGAAGAUGCAAUUGGGUUGAGGAAGAAUAAGAGGUUGGGUUGAGGAAGAAGAUGGGAUUGGGUUGAAGAAGAAGAAGAGCAGGUCAAAAUGGUCCAGCUGUGGCAGUCAACUAUCCAUGUCGGCAUGUAACGGUUCAGCUGUGUUUCAUUGGCGUAGUUUACCCUUGACAAAAAAUGGAAACAAGCGGUCUAACCCGGAUCUAAAACCUGAAAUAUUCGAAUCCAAACCUGGUCGGUUUUAACUUGGGCCACCUCAAUUUUAACCGAAUCUCUUUUCGUGGGCUCAAUCAUGGGUUUUAGUUAAAUAUACGUGGAAAGUUAUUUAUCUGCAAACCAAAUAAAGUAAA